CKUCUUGGAUUUAUAUGAAAUCGUGCCUGCUCACUGAUGAAUUUUAAAGAGCUGCGGUAUAUUGACCGUACAAAGGUAGCAUAAUCAUUAGUUUUUUAAUUGAAAGCUGGAAUGAAUGGUUUGACGAAAUAAUAACUGUCUCGUAAUUAGAAAUUUGAAUUUUAUUUUUGAGUUAAAAAGCUCAAAUGGAAAAGAGGGACGAGAAGACCCUAUAGAUCUUCAUAAUUUUGGACUUAUAUUGAUAAAAUUUGAUAUUUAAAUAUUCAAUAUAGGGAUUAUAAUUAUUUUAUUGGGGUGAUUUGAGAAUAAAAAAACUUCUUAAUGAAUUUACUUUGAUAAACGGGUAAAAGAUCCUUUAUUAAGGAAUAAAGAUAAAGUUACCUUAGGGAUAACAGCGUAAUUUUAUUUGAGAGUUCUUAUUAACAAUAAAGAUUGCGACCUCGAUGUUGGAUUAAGAUUAUAUAUUAGUGCAGAAGCUAAUUUUWKUMKKCUGKWC
rnacentral:rRNA from 1 species